rnacentral:rRNA from 1 species
ACGCUCGACACCUACUGGAGGCAGCAGUUGGGAAUAUUGGACAAUGGAGGAAACUCUGAUCCAGUGACGCCGCGUGAAGGAAGAAGGUCUUCGGAUUGUAAACUUAUUUUGUCAGGGAAGAAAAAAUGACUGUACCUGAAGAAAAAGCACCGGCUAACUACGUACCAGCAGCCGCGGUAAUCUGAGCGGGCUGGCAAGGC